rnacentral:rRNA from 1 species
AUGCACGCUGGCGGCGUGCCUCAUCCCUGCAAGUCGCGCGAACAGACGAGGAGCUUGCUCCUCUGACGUUAGCGGCGGACGGGUGAGUAACACGUGGAUAACCUACCUAUAAGACUGGGAUAACUUCGGGAAACCGGAGCUAAUACCGGAUAAUAUAUUGAACCGCAUGGUUCAAUAGUGAAAGACGGUUUUGCUGUCACUUAUAGAUGGAUCCGCGCCGCAUUAGCUAGUUGGUAAGGUAACGGCUUACCAAGGCAACGAUGCGUAGCCGACCUGAGAGGGUGAUCGGCCACACUGGAACUGAGACACGGUCCAGACUCCUACGGGAGGCAGCAGUAGGGAAUCUUCCGCAAUGGGCGAAAGACUGACGGAGCAACGCCGCGUGAGUGAUGAAGGUCUUCGGAUCGUAAAACUCUGUUAUUAGGGAAGAACAAAUGUGUAAGUAACUAUGCACGUCUUGACGGUACCUAAUCAGAAAGCCACGGCUAACUACGUG